AUGAACGCUAGCGGCAGGCCUAACACAUGCAAGUCGAGGGGCAGCACGGUGUAGCAAUACACUGGUGGCGACCGGCGCACGGGUGCGUAACGCGUAUGCAACCUACCCAUAACAGGGGGAUAACACUGAGAAAUUGGUACUAAUACCCCAUAACAUCAGGACCGGCAUCGGUUCUGGUUGAAAACUCCGGUGGUUAUGGAUGGGCAUGCGUUGUAUUAGCUGGUUGGUGAGGUAACGGCUCACCAAGGCAACGAUACAUAGGGGGACUGAGAGGUUAACCCCCCACAUUGGUACUGAGACACGGACCAAACUCCUACGGGAGGCAGCAGUGAGGAAUAUUGGUCAAUGGACGCAAGUCUGAACCAGCCAUGCCGCGUGCAGGAAGACGGCUCUAUGAGUUGUAAACUGCUUUUGUACGAGGGUAAACGCUCUUACGCGUAAGAGCCUGAAAGUAUCGUACGAAUAAGGAUCGGCUAACUCCGUGCCAGCAGCCGCGGUAAUACGGAGGAUCCAAGCGUUAUCCGGAUUUAUUGGGUUUAAAGGGUGCGUAGGCGGUUUGAUAAGUUAGAGGUGAAAUACCGGUGCUUAACACCGGAACUGCCUCUAAUACUGUUGAACUAGAGAGUAGUUGCGGUAGGCGGAAUGUAUGGUGUAGCGGUGAAAUGCUUAGAGAUCAUACAGAACACCGAUUGCGAAGGCAGCUUACCAAACUAUAUCUGACGUUGAGGCACGAAAGCGUGGGGAGCAAACAGGAUUAGAUACCCUGGUAGUCCACGCAGUAAACGAUGAUAACUCGCUGUCGGCGAUACACAGUCGGCGGCUAAGCGAAAGCGAUAAGUUAUCCACCUGGGGAGUACGUUCGCAAGAAUGAAACUCAAAGGAAUUGACGGGGGCCCGCACAAGCGGUGGAGCAUGUGGUUUAAUUCGAAGCAACGCGAAGAACCUUACCAGGUCUUGACAUCCGAUGCAUAGCGCAGAGAUGCGUGAAGUCCUUCGGGACAUCGAGACAGGUGGUGCAUGGUUGUCGUCAGCUCGUGCCGUGAGGUGUCGGGUUAAGUCCCAUAACGAGCGCAACCCCUACCGUUAGUUGCCAUCAGGUCAAGCUGGGCACUCUGGCGGGACUGCCGGUGUAAGCCGAGAGGAAGGUGGGGAUGACGUCAAAUCAGCACGGCCCUUACGUCCGGGGCUACACACGUGUUACAAUGGUAGGUACAGAGGGCAGCUACCCAGUGAUGGGAUGCGAAUCUCGAAAGCCUAUCUCAGUUCGGAUCGGAGGCUGAAACCCGCCUCCGUGAAGUUGGAUUCGCUAGUAAUCGCGCAUCAGCCAUGGCGCGGUGAAUACGUUCCCGGGCCUUGUACACACCGCCCGUCAAGCCAUGGAAGCUGGGGGUGCCUGAAGUUCGUGACCGCAAGGAGCGACCUAGGGCAAAACCGGUGACUGGGGCU
rnacentral:rRNA from 1 species